GCCAGGGCUUUGCAUGGAGUGGGCUUCUUGAUUUAACUAUAUCCUACCAAAAGUUUCCAUACAUGCAACAGCUUGAGCGUUCAUUGGACUUGCAGCUCACAGAGCAAUGGCAGGCUGGAUUCCUCUCCAGAUAGCUGUAAACAUUAAUGAAAGUCUUGCCAUAUUUUGGCUUUGGGGUCCUGUCCAGUAAUGCUGUCCACAGAUGUCUGUGUCUUCCUGGAUCUCAGUAUAGGAUGCGUGUGUCUCUCGUUCUGAACCUGGCCAAGGCUAACAGUAAGAAUCAGCGAGAAUAUCUUUUUGUUUAACCAUGCAAUGCACUGAACAGAUUGGAAAACACAUGGACAAGACCAGGCGGAGAAGGCAGGAAAAUGUCAAGAGAAAUGUUCAACCCAGAUUUAUUUGACAGCUUCAGUUUUAGUAUCAUGCAAAGAAUGAAAUACAUUUAAUUCCCAGCUAUGCUGAAGCUAAUGCCAAAAAUUGCAUUUGAAUCUUCCACUGGGAUCAGCAGGGACCUCUUUGAGUACUGGAUCAAAACCAAGGAUCUGAAAUCGGCUUACAGCCCAGGACCAAAACCAACCUCUGUUAUUGCUCAGGGCAAUGGUUUGUAUGGUGAAGAAUGCAACAGGGUUUUGUCACCGUGCUGAGGCAUUUCAGGACAGCAAAGACUCUGGGACGAGAUAGACCUUGAUAGCAGAGAAUGACCUAUACGCCAGGACCUCUUCACAAGCAACCAAGAAGAUGCCCGUGUGGACUUUACCCCAGAUCUGCCUCCUGAGCAGGCCAGACCUUUGCAGACUCGGACUUUAUCUGGCCUAAUGUCUGGCAUAUCUGAAGGGGAAGAAGAACAGAAGAGAAGAGGAAAUGUCUUUGAAGAGCUCCUAAAAGCCUGAUCCAAGUGAAGGCAAAAAGCUCAUGAGUGGAGGACUAAAAAGAAAAAGCAUGGAGAGGUGCUGCAGCUGGACCCUCAUCUGACCAGAGAACUGGCCAAGCGGGGCUUUGCAAAGACCUGGGGACCUAUGGAAAAGGACACGGAGAGACCGAGGCAACUUAUGGAGGUCAUGAAAACAUGGGAAAUGUGCUCCAGCAAUGCUCACCCUUUUCCUCCUCUGUACUUGGGGCAGAAAAUUGCUGCAAAGAUUCCUGCCCACACUUGUUUCUUCCCACUGCAAAUACUACAGCACCAUUGCUUGCCCUAUUUGAAACAAUGGUCUCCACUAACUUCCAUUUUAUUUUCGAUCCUAAUGUUUGUACUUGCACAUGGCUUCUCACAGCAAGAACUAUUACAUCUAUUCGUACUCAAGGCGCGUAACAAUAAAGGAGACUUUUAUUCUGCGGUGAUACCAUUUUUUAUCAAAGUUGCAUCUUAAAAUUAUCAUUAAAAAUGCCAUUUCUGCU